rnacentral:sRNA from 1 species
UGAUGUCAUUAGGGUUACCUUUUUUAU